rnacentral:lncRNA from 1 species
AAAGAAUGUAAAACAUGAAACUACUUGUGGACCAAAUGAAAAACUGUGGAGCAGAUUAUGAUGCAGUUAGACCUUGCUUGAAUGACUUCGACCCACAAAAGCAGAGUAAUUUAUCCCUACUUACAGAGAGAUUGCCCUACGUGUAACAGCUGCAUACAAAAAAGUUAUAAAAUUAUCAUUGGUUUAACAAGGAUAAAUGAAAAACAUUAAAAUUCUCCAACUGAACAAGGUGUGUCUGUUUCAUUGAUUGGCUGACUGUCAAAUCGGAAUCUGAUCUGCCCCAUUGACAAUGCCUUGGGCUUUUCCUCAGCCAUGGCAAAUGCCAGAGUCUUCUCAGCUGCCGCUUCACAAAAGAGGUACCAGCUUCUCACUGAACGAACACAGUGCAGCACCAGGAGUGACAGAAGAAGGAGGCGGCAGCGGUGGUUGAGGGACAGGGUGCGUGCACGUCCAAGUACAGUUCUUAAAAUGUUGAGGGCAUGCAACAUAUGCUCAAUAAAUACCUGAUUUUUAAAAAAGACAAUGAUUAUGGAAAACUCUUGAUCAUUAACCCGAAGGGAGAGUCUAGUUUCCAGGAAGCAUUUGUUUGUAUACACUAUUUAACCCAAGGAUACACUCUUUUCUCCGUGGCAGCGUGACUCAUCUUAGUCUCCAAUUUUUGACCUGAUGUGAUUCUUCUUCCAACUGAUUCGCCAGAAGAAUCAGGCCUCUUUGCUCCUUUUCUUCAGUGUCCUGUGCCUUGGCUGUUGCAGGUGGAAGUGGAAAAGAAAUUGCCAAUGAUGCUGCAAAUAACUUCCUUCACCUUCUAACCUGGAGAUUCAUUGAAGGAAGAAAAAAGGUGACUGUCAGAGUCCCUGCUGGCCAUGCCUCUCAGCCACAGGACCACUGAGCCACUUAAUUCCUCCCCAGGGUCAGAUGUGCCCCAGCACCCAAUUGUUUAUGGAU